rnacentral:lncRNA from 1 species
GGCUUGAGACGGGCUAGUGUAGGACUUCGUCAGGAAUAAAGUUGUCUCAAUGCUGAACACAACAUUUUCUUGCAGUUCCGUUAGUUCCGUUAGAACCAGCCUCAUCGGUGAAUGACCUUGUCAAGUUUUAGCAGCUUCUGAUGCCAUCAUGAAUUGGUGGAACUACAGUUCCUUGGAAGCCCAGAGCAGCCUUUUGCUCAUCAGCUGUGUCCCAGCAUCUAAAUUAUCUCAAGGACUUCUUGCCUCCAAAGCCUACACCCUUGGCUAACCCAUGAGAGAAACCCAGAAGAAGCAGCCAGCCGUGAUAAAGCCAGUACUCGGUGUCACUCAUGAAGAUUAUGUCAUCC